AUUUUAUUUGACAAAGACAAAGUUGUUACCCCUUAUGUUUUAUUUCAUGACGACCACUAAAAAACAACAGUGUUACCCCUUGUGUUUUUUUUCAUGACGACCAAUAAAAAACAACAUGUUACCCCCUCUGUUUUAUUUGAUGAAUACCGACAGUGUUACCCCUUAUGUUUAUUUCAUGACGGCCGAUAAAAAACAACAGAGUUACCCCUCAUGUUUUUUCCAUGUUGACCAAUAAAAAACGACCGUGAAACCCCUGUCGACGUUUUUGAGGGGAUCUGAACAUGAGCUGUUUAGAGUAUUAACCUCCGAACAUAUCAAUGCACCAUCAUGACAUGGAAUAAAACCAACACAAUGGUUAUACUUGACUUUAUAAUUCACAUGAAAUAGAGAUAAGAGUCUUCCAACAAAGGACAUCAACCAGACUUGAACCCCGGUCUCCAGGGGGUUAGCUCACAGCUCUCUCCAAGUUCCACUGAGAUUUAUAUUUUAAAUAGGUCUGUGGUUAUAUAUGACAAUAGACAUGAUAGCAUUACGUUUCAAAUUAAAGAUAUUGUGUUUUCCACUGCACCUCUGAGGCGAU
ensembl:lncRNA